rnacentral:rRNA from 1 species
GUUGGUAUGAGGUAAGGGCGGAACAGAACCAGGGCUAGCGACUCAAUCUAGAGCCGCCGCCACCGCCACCGCCACCGAACACCGUUGCUGGAUCCCUCCACCACUGCCACCUCCCCCGCCACACCUUCCUUCCCAGCCACACCUUCCUCCCCUCGUCGUCGUCUGAAGUGCCCUUCGGCAGAGUCUAGAUGGCUCCGAGAAAAACGGCGGCGGGGCCCUUUUCCGGUUGCUCGACGUUGGUGUAGCUGCCAUGCAUGGAUCUGGAGCGGCGCCCCCCUGGUGAGGCCUUCCCGUCCGAUGGCGCGAUGGGGCUGGCGGGCUACCGGAGGUCGGGCGGGCGGCCGAUAGGCCACCAGCAGGUCCGGUCCAUGGCAGCGAUGCAACGACACCUGAUGGCGUCGUUUUGUCCGUUGCGUACUAUCCCGUCUAGGUGCACUCCAAUCUCGCUGGACUUGGCCGCGCUAGCUAGCUAGCCGGUCACAGGUUUGUGAGCGGAGUGGGAGGUGGGGAUCCAUUUCGGGACAAUUCCUUGGUCGGUUCCAUGUCCGGCCACGACAACGAUGACGCUCGCGGGUGGUGAUGUUCUUCUUGGAGACGUUGUUCAGGUGCGCCCUACCUCUUCCCGCAUCACUACUUUGUUGAAUUACUUAAUAAAGAUGGUUGCAUGCAUCAUUUUGAUGCAUGAGGCUGGGGUAAUCCUCCUUUUCAAAAAAAGUGAGGUCAAGGGCGGUCACAUUUGCAAAGCCAGCAAGCAAGUUGAUAUGCUCGAUGAUGCUCGAGAUGCGCCAAGUGCCGGAAUCUACUCCCAUGCUGUUGCUGGAACCACUGAUGUGGACGGGCCUUGGGCCUUGGCUUUAGCUGGCUACUAGUAGUGCUCUUGAUCGAUGCAAAUGAAAGAACGGCGUUGGCACUUGUGGAAGAGAGACAAAGAUACAUAGCUAUAGGAGGAUUGAUUUUCCCGACCAGAACUGAUCUGAAUUCAUGCACAGUAAAAGGCCAAAGCGCAUCCAAUCAUGCCUGCGCGUCUAUACAUAAGCGAGCGAGGAGGAGGAGAAAAGUGGGAGUGCUCUGGAGAAAGUAUCUGGUGACAAAACAUGAUCGAGCACCGAAACACCUCGAGAUGAAAAAGAACGGCAGAAAUUAAACGUACGGUCUCAGAUGAUAGAUGCUGUCCCAGCUCUGCAAAUUGAUUUUUAGUUUAUUCCUCUGGACAAAUUAAGCAACGCCUUGCUCGAGUGGAUCAAUCAUAAACGAAAAAGCUUCUCAACAAAGUGUUGUUAAGAUAUGCAUCGACACUUGCAGCACACCAUAUUAUCCUGGGACCCUUACAUAUCU